rnacentral:rRNA from 1 species
UACGGAGGGGGCUAGCGUUGUUCGGAAUUACUGGGCGUAAAGCGCGCGUAGGCGGACCUGCAAGUCGGGGGUGAAAGCCCGAGGCUCAACCUCGGAACUGCCUUCGAUACUGCGGGUCUCGAGUCCGGGAGAGGUGAGUGGAAUUCCUGGUGUAGCGGUGAAAUGCGCAGAUAUCAGGAAGAACACCUAUGGCGAAGGCAGCACUCUGGGACGGUACUGACGCUGAGACGCGAAAGCGUGGGGAGCGAACAGG